UCCAGACUCCUACGGGAGGCAGCAGUGAGGAAUAUUGGUCAAUGGGCUUACGCCUGAACCAGCCAAGUCGCGUGAGGGAAGACUGCCCUAUGGGUUGUAAACCUCUUUUGUCAGGGAGCAACGCCGGCUACGUGUAGCCGGACUGAGAGUACCUGAAGAAAAAGCAUCGGCUAACUCCGUGCCAGCAGCCGCGGUAAUACGGAGGAUGCGAGCGUUAUCCGGAUUUAUUGGGUUUAAAGGGUGCGUAGGCGGAAUGCCAAGUCAGCGGUAAAAUCGCGGGGCUCAACCUCGCUCCGCCGUUGAAACUGGCGCUCUUGAGUGGGCGAGAAGUAUGCGGAAUGCGUGGUGUAGCGGUGAAAUGCAUAGAUAUCACGCAGAACUCCGAUCGCGAAGGCAGCCUACCGGCGCGCAACUGACGCUCAUGCACGAAAGCGUGGGUAUCGAACAGGAUUAGAUACCCGCGUACC
rnacentral:rRNA from 1 species